rnacentral:rRNA from 1 species
GAUGAACGCUGGCGGCGUGCCUAAUACAUGCAAGUCGAGCGAACAGACGAGGAGCUUGCUCCUCUGACGUUAGCGGCGGACGGGUGAGUAACACGUGGAUAACCUACCUAUAAGGCUGGGAUAACUUCGGGAAACCGGAGCUAAUACCGGAUAAUAUAUUGAACCGCAUGGUUCAAUAGUGAAAGACGGUUUUGCUGUCACUUAUAGAUGGAUCCGCGCCGCAUUAGCUAGUUGGUAAGGUAACGGCUUACCAAGGCAACGAUGCGUAGCCGACCUGAGAGGGUGAUCGGCCACACUGGAACUGAGACACGGUCCAGACUCCUACGGGAGGCAGCAGUAGGGAAUCUUCCGCAAUGGGCGAAAGCUUGACGGAGCAACGCCGCGUGAGUGAUGAAGGUCUUCGGAUCGUAAAACUCUGUUAUUAGGGAAGAACAAAUGUGUAAGUAACUAUGCACGUCUUGGCGGUACCUAAUCAGAAAGCCACGGCUAACUACGUG